CUUGUCGGAAUAUAGGGGAAUCAUCCUCUAAGACUAAGUAUUUAUAAAUUUAACAAUAGUGAAAAGUACCUGCAUAAUGGGUCAACAAGUUAAUAGGAGUAGCAAGGUUAAAAGUCUAAGCGAAAGCAACUAGGUCAUUUUAAUAAGUGAAAUGGGUUAAAUUACUUCUAUUAGACUCGAAGCCAGGUGAUCUUUCCAAGACCAAAUUAUAAUGGAUCGAACGGUUAAAUGUUGCAUAAUUCUCCAAAGAGUUUUGGAAAGUGGUGAAAUACUAAUCUGACCUGGUGAUAGCUGAUUUUCUACAAAAUAUAUUUGAGUAUGACAUCUAUUUAAUAUUUAUGGAGGUAUGGUAUAGUAAUUUCAUACAAAUAUUAAAUUUAUUUUAAUAGGAGUUUAAGUUGCGGAGACUUUGAAAACCUUAUCAAUGGAAAUAAAUCUCGGAAUUACAUAAAUAGAUGAUAGAUAUUCAGACUAUUCAUGAUAAGUUAGAUAGUCAAGACAGAAACAGCUGUGAACACAUAUUAAGGUUCCAAAUAAUUAUUAAGUGAAAUAAAGGAAGUGACAAAUUAAAGGUAGUUAAAAAGUGAGCCCGGUAGUUGUUACUUAUGAUAAACAUGUAUCAAUAUAUCAACCUUUAGAUUAUUGCCCUGAAGAUUUAAUGGGUCUAAAGUAACUAACCGAUAUCGUGUUAAUUUUAAAGAUAGAUUUUUAAUAAUAAUUAAUUCUUAUUAUAUUUAUAUUUAAAAUUUAAAUAGUAGAACAUUCAGAUAAUUUAUAGAAAUAUAGACAAACUAUAGAAAUCCAAACCUAAAUUAAAGUUUCUAAGCACAACCAUACCCUAAGCCAACAUAUGUUUGUAGGUAGAGUAUACUAAGGUGUAGAGCUAAAAGUUGUUAAGGAACUCGGCAAAUUAUCCUCAUAAGUUCGACAACAAGAGGAACCAUGAAUCUUUUAUAAAUUAAUAACUUCUGUUAAUUUAUUUAUAUGGUGGCACAAAAUCGGAAGCCCCGACUGUUUACUAAAAACACAGCUGUCUGCGAUUAUGAAAAUAAUAGUAUAGAUAGCGAGAUUUGCCCAAUGCUAUAUGAAUAAGUAAUAUAAUGGGUAACUGUUUCUUUACAAAAAGGUGGUUAAUAGCGGUCUUAACUAUGAGGAUCCUAAGGUAAUAAAAUAAAUUGGCCAUUAAAUGUGGUUCAGUAUCAAUAAUUUAAUAAUAUCUACAACUUGCUCAGUGAAAUUGAAUUACCCGUGCAGAUGCGGGUUGCCUCAAAUAGGACGGGAAGACCCCAUGCAGCUUUACUGUAGCUAGUUAUCACAUAUAAAGUUCUAUUACCUCAGUUAUACACAUAAUAGAGAGUCAAUUAGACAUUUAUGGAAAACCUUAAAUUUAAGGUGGAACUGGUGCUUAUCUUUUUAUUUAUAAAAUUUAAGAGGAGAUAUUUGACUAGUUGGCAGUUUGACUGGGGCGGUCGUCUUUAAUAGAGUAGCAAAGUACAUC
rnacentral:ncRNA from 1 species